UGCAAGUCGAACGGGGGCAGUGAUGCUCCAGUGGCGGACGGGUGAGUAAUGCGUAGGAAUCUGCCUGGCAAUGGGGGACAACCUGGGGAAACUCAGGCUAAUACCGCAUACGCUCGCGAGAGGAAAGCGGGGGACCUCCGGGCCUCGUGUUGUUGGAUGAGCCUACGUCCGAUUAGCUAGUUGGGAGGGUAACGGCCUACCAAGGCGACGAUCGGUAGCUGGUCUGAGAGGAUGAUCAGCCACACUGGGACUGAGACACGGCCCAGACUCCUACGGGAGGCAGCAGUGGGGAAUAUUGGACAAUGGGCGCAAGCCUGAUCCAGCAAUGCCGCGUGGGUGAAGACGGCCUGCGGGUUGUAAAGCCCUUUAGGUGGGGAAGAAGGGUGGGGCACGAAGACUGCCUUAUUUUGACAUUACCCACGGAAUAAGCACCGGCUAACUCCGUGCCAGCAGCCGCGGUAAUACGGAGGGUGCGAGCGUUAAUCGG
rnacentral:rRNA from 1 species